GUGAAAUCAAGCUAUUUCAAUAGCUGCCUUGCUCUGUGAAAGUGGUAGGUGUGGAUAGAAGGAAAAUGAUUCAGAGUUAACCAUCGACAAAAGGGGAAGGCAGAGAGUGUGAAAGUGGCGAAUCACAGGUGCAUUUAAGUCAUCUGUAGCACUAUUUGUAAAUAGUCUGGACUCAGUGGAACCUGCUGUCUUAUGAAUAUAAUAUGUAAGUUAUAAGUAUUAUAAUUAUAUCUGAUAUAGU
rnacentral:lncRNA from 1 species